rnacentral:rRNA from 1 species
UCGAAGCCUCACAAGCAAUGCGACCCCGUGAAUUUGUUUGACUACUCAGGGGCGGCUUGAGUGUUCCCGCACCUUGGUCCCCCUCGUGCCAGUUGGCGUCCCACCUCGUGUGGUCUCCUUCUGGCCCAAUAACAAAACCCCGGCGCCGAACGCGCCAAGGAAAUUGAAAUCGUUUAGUGCGCCCCCGUCGGCCCGGAGACGGUGCCUGGGGGGGCGUUGCGACACGCGUAUCCAAA